rnacentral:rRNA from 1 species
CAGCCGCCGCGGUAUUACAGAGGGUGCGAGCGUUAAUCGGAUUUACUGGGCGUAAAGCGUGCGUAGGCGGCUUUUUAAGUCGGAUGUGAAAUCCCUGAGCUUAACUUAGGAAUUGCAUUCGAUACUGGGAAGCUAGAGUAUGGGAGAGGAUGGUAGAAUUCCAGGUGUAGCGGUGAAAUGCGUAGAGAUCUGGAGGAAUACCGAUGGCGAAGGCAGCCAUCUGGCCUAAUACUGACGCUGAGGUACGAAAGCAUGGGGAGCAAACAGGAUUAGAGACCCCGGUAGUCCCUGUCUCUUAUAC